AGCGAACGCUGGCGGCAGGCCUAACACAUGCAAGUCGAACGAACCUUUCGGGGUUAGUGGCGGACGGGUGAGUAACACGUGGGAACGUGCCUUUAGGUUCGGAAUAACUCAGGGAAACUUGUGCUAAUACCGAAUGUGCCCUUCGGGGGAAAGAUUUAUCGCCUUUAGAGCGGCCCGCGUCUGAUUAGCUAGUUGGUUGAGGUAAUGGCUCAUCAAGGCGACGAUCAGUAGCUGGUCUGAGAGGAUGAUCAGCCACAUUGGGACUGAGACACGGCCCAAACUCCUACGGGAAGCAGCAGUGGGGAAUCUUGCGCAAUGGGCGAAAGCCUGACGCAGCCAUGCCGCGUGAAUGAUGAAGGUCUUAGGAUUGUAAAAUUCUUUCACCGGGGACGAUAAUGACGGUACCCGGAGAAGAAGCCCCGGCUAACUUCGUG
rnacentral:rRNA from 1 species